rnacentral:rRNA from 1 species
CCUACGGGAGGCAGCAGUGAGGAAUAUUGGUCAAUGGACGAGAGUCUGAACCAGCCAAGUAGCGUGAAGGAUGACUGCCCUAUGGGUUGUAAACUUCUUUUAUAAAGGAAUAAAACGAGGCACGUGUGCCUUUUUGCAUGUACUUUAUGAAUAAGGAUCGGCUAACUCCGUGCCAGCAGCCGCGGUAAUACGGAGGAUCCGAGCGUUAUCCGGAUUUAUUGGGUUUAAAGGGAGCGUAGAUGGGUUGGUAAGUCAGUUGUGAAAGUUUGCGGCUCAACCGUAAAAUUGCAAUUGAUACUGGCAGUCUAGAGUACAGUUGAGGUAGGCGGAAUUCGUGGUGUAGCGGUGAAAUGCUUAGAUAUCACGAAGAACCCCGAUUGCGAAGGCAGCUUACUAAACUGUGACUGACAUUGAUGCUCGAAAGUGUGGGUAUCAAACAGGAUUAGAUACCCGAGUAGUC